CUGCCCCUGACUCUGGGAUAAGCCUGGGAAACUGGGUCUAAUACUGGAUAUGCACCGUGGACCGCAUGGUUCUUGGUGGAAAGAUUUUAUUGUUCAAGGAUGGACUCAUGGCCUAUCAGCUUGUUGGUGAGGUAAUGGCUCACCAAGGCGACCACGGGUAGCCGGCCUGAGAGGGUGACCGGCCACACUGGGACUGAGACACGGCCCACACUCCUACGGGAGGCAGCAGUGGGGAAUAUUGCACAAUGGGCGAAGGCCUGAUGCAGCGACGCCGCGUGAGGGAUGACGGCCUUCGGGUUGUAAACCUCUUUCAGUAGGGAAAAAGCAAAAGUGACGGCACCUGCAAAAGAAGCGCCGGCUAACUACGUGCCAGCAGCCGCGGUAAUACGUAGGGCGCAAGCGUUAUCCGGAAUUAUUGGGCGUAAAGAGCUCGUAGGCGGUUUGUCGCGUCUAUCGUGAAACUCGCGAGGUUCUACCUUCGUGAUCUGCGGUGGGUACGGCUCAGACUAGAGUGAUGUAUUGGGAAACUGGAAUUCCUGAGUGUAGCGGAGAAAUGCGCAAUAUCACGACGAACACCGAUGGCGAAGGCAUGUCUCUGGACAUUAACUGACGCUGAGGAGCUCAAGCUUGGGGAUCGAACAGGAUUAGAUACCCUGGUAGUCCAUGCCGGAACGUUGCUCUCUAUGUGUGGGGACAUUCCACGUUUUCCGCGUCGUAGCGAUGUCUUACCUGUCCCCGCCUGGGGUAUAGCGUCAAACAGCUAAACUCGGAGGAAUUGACGGGAGGCCCGAAACUAGCAGGAGAUCAUGGGGGAUUCGCUCGAUGCACGAGAAGAUCGUUUACUUGGCUUGACUGUGCUAAACCUACCAUAGACUGUGGUUUUCCCUGUCUGGGGUUGAUAUACAGGGUGGUGCAUGUUGACGCUAGUACUAGUCGGGGAUGGUUGGU
rnacentral:rRNA from 1 species